AGCAGCCGCGGUAAUUCCAGCUCCAAUAGCGUAUAUUAAAGUUGUUGCAGUUAAAAAGCUCGUAGUUGAAUUUCGGGAUCAGCAGGUCGGUCGUGCCACUGGUAUGCACUGGCCUUGCUGAUUCCACCCUCUUGAUGAGCCGUAAUGCCAUUAAUUUGGUGUUGCGGGGAAUCAGGACUGUUACUUUGAAAAAAUUAGAGUGUUUAAAGCAGGCAUGCGCUUGAAUACAUUAGCAUGGAAUAAUGAAAUAGGACGUUCGAUCCUAUUUUGUUGGUUUCUAGGAUUGACGUAAUGAUUAAUAGGGAUAGUUGGGGGCAUUAGUAUUCAAUUGUCAGAGGUGAAAUUCUUGGAUUUAUUGAAGACUAACUACUGCGAAAGCAUUUGCCAAGGAUGUUUUCAUUAAUCAAGAACGAAAGUUAGGGGAUCGAAGACGAUCAGAUACCGUCGUAGUCUUAACCAUAAACUAUGCCGACUAGGGAUCGGAUGAUGUUAAUUUUUUAAUGACUCAUUCGGCGCCUUA
rnacentral:rRNA from 1 species